rnacentral:lncRNA from 1 species
GCCCAGAUGAGUGGGAGGGACCCAAGGCCGGGCCACGGUGGCCGCGGGUCUCCGGGCCAGCGCGGCUAACCUGGCUGGGAGCAGGGGGGCGUUCGGUGGUCUAGUGCCCGCCUGGCCAGAGAUGCAGGCGGGAAGGUGAGAUGGCCAACACUGGGCUCCUGCCUCGUGCCCUUGCACUCCCUCCUCCGGGAGAAGCAAGCAGCUUGGUUGAUAAGCUGACCCAGGCCGAGUCCUGUUGCCUGGUCUGUAUUCAGGGGAACAACUGGAUGUUUGAGCACACAGAAAAAAGCGACCUCCUGUCAUCAAUAUGGCCACCCUUUUGUUGCAGUGAGCCGAGACUGCACCGCUGCACUCCAGACUGGGCGACAGAGCAAGACUCCGUCUCAAAAUAAAUAAAUAAAUUAAUUAAUUAAAAUAAAAUCGCUCUUUUACAGGAAUCACCACAGGUAGGGCAGAGCCCUGGAUGGGAGGCAGGAGUCCCUGAAUCCUAGGUGUCCUGGGCCCCUCACCAAUGGGCAAGCCUGCCUGGUGCUGAGUCAGCCACGUACCUCAUCCAGGAUCUGAGCACUGAAGCCAAUCUGUGCCAGCUGGUAGUGAAGGGCGUCUCCAACCGUGCCUGCAAGCCAAGAAGCCCAGUGAGACUGCUGUGGGCCGAGAGACGGCGUCUCACUCUGUC